rnacentral:rRNA from 1 species
GCAGGGCGGCCUGCUAUACAUGCAGUCGAGCGAAUGAAGAGGAGCUUGCUCCUCUGAUUUAGCGGCGGACGGGAGAGUAACACGUGGGUAAUCUGCCUGUAAGACGGGGAUAACUCCGGGAAACCGGGGCUAAUACCGGAUAAUAAGAGAAGAAGCAUUUCUUCUUUUUGAAAGUCGGCCUCUCGCUGACACUUACAGAUGAGCCCGCGGCGCAUUAGCUAGUUGGUGAGGUAACGGCUCACCAAGGCGACGAUGCGUAGCCGACCUGAGAGGGUGAUCGGCCACACUGGGACUGAGACACGGCCCAGACUCCUACGGGAGGCAGCAGUAGGGAAUCUUCGGCAAUGGGCGAAAGCCUGACCGAGCAACGCCGCGUGAGCGAUGAAGGCCUUCGGGUCGUAAAGCUCUGUUGUUAGAGAAGAACAAGUACGAGAGUAACUGCUCGUACCUUGACGGUACCUAACCAGAAAGCCACGGCUAACUACGUGCCAGCAGCCGCGGUAAUACGUAGGUGGCAAGCGUUAUCCGGAAUUAUUGGGCGUAAAGCGCGCGCAGGCGGUCUCUUAAGUCUGAUGUGAAAGCCCACGGCUCAACCGUGGAGGGUCAUUGGAAACUGGGAGACUUGAGUGCAGGAGAGAAAAAGUGGAAUUCCACGUGUAGCGGUGAAAUGCGUAAAGAUGUGGAGGAACACCAAUGGCGAAGGCGGGUUUUUUGGCCUG